rnacentral:tRNA from 1 species
GGAACUGUAGCUUAGUGGUAGAGUGUUUGCCUAGCAUGCAUGAAGUCCUGGGUUUGAUUCCUCAGUACCA